rnacentral:rRNA from 1 species
GAUGAACGCUAGCGGCAGGCCUAACACAUGCAAGUCGAGGGGUAGAGUUUCUUCGGAGACUUGAGACCGGCGCACGGGUGCGUAACGCGUAUGCAAUCUGCCCUUUACUGGGGAAUAGCCCGGAGAAAUUCGGAUUAAUGCCCCAUAUGCCCGUAGAAUCACCUGAUUCAGCGGGGAAAGUUCCGACGGUAAAGGAUGAGCAUGCGUCCCAUUAGCUAGUUGGUGAGGUAACGGCUCACCAAGGCGACGA